rnacentral:rRNA from 1 species
CAGGGCGUCACAGAGUGUGAGAAUCCCGUAUGUGACCAAUCAUCGAUUCCAUGUGAAACCCUUUCGACGAGUCGAGUUGUUUGGGAAUGCAGCUCUAAUGGGUGGUAAAUUUCAUCUAAAGCUAAAUAUCUGCCAGAGACCGAUAGCGCACAAGUAGAGUGAUCGAAAGAUGAAAAGCACUUUGAAAAGAGAGUCAAACAGUACGUGAAAUUGUUGAAAUGGUUGCGAUUGCAAUCAGACUCGUUUGCAGAAGCUCAGCCUUCCUUCGGGAUGGUGUAUUCUUCUGUUAACGGGCCAGCAUCAGUUUCGUCGGCUGGAUAAAGACUUCGAGAACGUA